rnacentral:rRNA from 1 species
CAAUAAGCGGAGGAAAAGAAACCAACAGGGAUUGCCCCAGUAACGGCGAGUGAAGCGGCAACAGCUCAAAUUUGAAAUCUGGCCUCGGCCCGAGUUGUAAUUUGCAGAGGAUGCUUCUGGCGCGGCGCCUUCCGAGUUCCCUGGAACGGGACGCCACAGAGGGUGAGAGCCCCGUAUGGUCGGACGCCAAGCCAGUGUGAAGCUCCUUCGAAGAGUCGAGUAGUUUGGGAAUGCUGCUCUAAGCGGGAGGUAUACGUCUUCUAAAGCUAAAUACCGGCCAGAGACCGAUAGCGCACAAGUAGAGUGAUCGAAAGAUGAAAAGCACCUUGAAAAGGGGGUUAAACAGUACGUGAAAUUGUUGAAAGGGAAGCGCCUGUGACCAGACUUGCGCCGGGCGGAUCAUCCAGCGUUCUCGCUGGUGCGCUCCGCCCGGCUCAGGCCAGCAUCGGUUCUGGCGGGGGGAUAAAGGCGGCGGGAACGUGGCUCCCCCGGGAGUGUUAUAGCCCGCCGUGCAAUGCCCCCGCUGGGACCGAGG